CAAGGUACACUAGUAAGUUUGAUCCUGGGCUCAGGAAUGUCCUUAUCNNNGGUGGCCAGCUUUAGUGGUNUUUACGGGUGAGUAACACGUUAGUAACCUGCCCUUGACUUCGGGAUAACUCCGGGAAACCGGGGCUAAUACCGGCAUAUGAGCCGCCUUCGCAUGGGGGUGGUUGGAAAGUUUUUCGGUCAGGGAUGGGCUCGCGGCCUAUCAGCUUGUUGGUGGGGUGAUGGCCUACCAAGGCGACGACGGGUAGCCGGCCUGAGAGGGCGACCGGCCACACUGGGACUGAGACACGGCCCAGACUCCUACGGGAGGCAGCAGUGGGGAAUAUUGCACAAUGGGCGAAAGCCUGAUGCAGCGACGCCGCGUGAGGGAUGAAGGCCUUCGGGUUGUAAACCUCUUUCAGCAGGGAAGAAGCGCAAGUGACGGUACCUGCAGAAGAAGCGCCGGCUAACUACGUGCCAGCAGCCGCGGUAAUACGUAGGGCGCAAGCGUUGUCCGGAAUUAUUGGGCGUAAAGAGCUCGUAGGCGGUCUGUCGCGUCUGGUGUGAAGACUCGAGGCUCAACCUCGAGCUUGCAUCGGGUACGGGCAGACUAGAGUGCGGUAGGGGAGACUGGAAUUCCUGGUGUAGCGGUGGAAUGCGCAGAUAUCAGGAGGAACACCGAUGGCUAAGGCAGGUCUCUGGGCCGCAACUGACGCUCAGGAGCGAAAGCAUGGCGGAGCGAACAGGAUUAGAUACCCUGGUAGUCCAUGCCGUAAACGUUGGGCACUAGGUGUGAGGCUCAUUCCACGAGUUCCGUGCCGCAUCAAACGCAUUAAUUGCCCCCGCCUGGGGAGUACGGCCGCCACGGCUAAAACUCAGAGGAAUUUGACGGGGGCCCGCCACAAAUCGGCGGAGCAUGCCGAAUUAAUUUCGAUGCAACGCGAAUAAACCUUACCAAAGGCUUGGACAUGCC
rnacentral:rRNA from 1 species